UGGUAACACGAACCGGUGCUAAAGGGUCAUUGCCCCGACAGCAUCUGUCAGUAGCCGUGGGGCAGGACCCUUUAGCACCGGUUCGUGUUACAAA
rfam:Sorghum bicolor cultivar BTx623 chromosome 1, whole genome shotgun sequence.